GGGGGUAUAGAUUAGUGGUUUAGCGCACGUUUAGCAUGCAUGAAGUUGUAGGUUCAAUCCCCAGUACCUCCA
rnacentral:tRNA from 1 species